rnacentral:lncRNA from 1 species
AGCCAGAGGAGACGAGACGCCAUCGCGACAAGUCGACCAGCGAAUCUUGGCGUCGUCAUCCCCUUUCUCUCUCGCUCAAAAGUUGCCGGAGCCCCCUCUCUCCGUCUCCCCACCGCCAUGGAGGAGGCGCAGGGUACGUCUCGCUCUCAUCUCGUUCCCUCCCCGAUCUUGAUGGUAUGCUACCGUAAUUCAGGCGCUGCGUGGCCGUGGAUGUGAUUUCCGAUUCCGCCCCCGCCCUGCCUAGGUCGAAUUCAGGUUCCGUUCUUGAUUCUGUUUCAUUUCGAGCAGCAAAUUCUGGUCCCAUGCAAUGAGGGCCUUGGCAUCUGAUCUUUCCGAAUCAGGUGUAUCCAGGUCCAGUUACGGGACGUAAAUUGCCACCAGUCCUGGUUUAAUGCCGAUUAGAGUACAAUUUCAGUACUUCAGCCGUUAUAUCCUGAUGAAUCAUCAUAUUACAUCACUCAUGAAAAUGCAGGAUGCGUUGCCGCUAGUAGGCUCAAGCCGAUGCUCCAUACUUCCUGGAGCAUGCACCUCUGUUCUUUGGGUCCCAGUUAAUUAUGCUUUUCUCAGGAGAAAGGGGUCCCGAUUAGGUAGUUCCCCCCAGUUUUCCGUCAGAGCGCGCAUCAUUUACCGUAUAAGCUUACUGUUAAAUGGUUGGUGGAUACACGCGCAUGUGCCCGCCAUCGAUGUUGUGUUCUUCUGUACCUUCGAGAUGCAGAUCCAUGUGUCAGGCAUAUUCCUAUGCUUUUGCUCCGUGGCUUCCUCUGCGUGUGCCUUUGGAACCUCCAUCAGUCUGCCUAUUGCUCCGUUGGAAAAUACACCAGCAGAGGAUGCAAUGCAUGACAUCUUGGGAAAUUGUUUUCUUUCUCUAAACUAGAAUAUGUAGACAGGCCUUAGCAGUUGGAACCAUGCUGUCAAUCUUGUCUGUCAUGCCUGCUCCUUUCAAAGACGUACUGCCACCAAUGCAAAUGCCAAGUACAUAUAUAUGUAUCAAGUGGGAAAAAAAAUAGUACCUGAAAAAAACUUGAUGCUUCCCUCCAUAUGUAGGAUUCUUUACUGAACUCACAGGCAGUUACGGCAUUCUGGAAUCUGACAGAAGAGUUAUUGGAUUUACAAGUGGCAAGUUAUAGACUGUAACCCCUUUUCUUGCCAGCCUGCCUACCUGAUUUCUUUGAGGUUAGCUAGGAAAGAAAAUUUUUAGGACAACGAAGGAUCUAUGCUCAGUUUUUUUUUCUUUGUGGAAUCAGUUCUAUUAUUAUUGUUAGCUGAAAGGUCCAUACUGCUUAUGAUUAAUCAUGAUCUAAAUGUUCUUUCCGUUUUUUUUUUACUCUAGUUGUUCAGUCAAAGGAUGGAACCAUCUCGGUUGCUUCUGCAUUUGCUGGUCAUCAGCAAGGUGAGACCAUACAACAGUGAUUUAACAUCUUUUACUUCUAGGUCUCAUGUAGGUGCACAGCUUACUGACAGAAGAUUAAGCUCUUAUGUUAUAUUUGAGCUAUAAUCUAAAUGGUCACAACGUUCAGUGUUUUGUUAAUUUGCAACAUGUAAGGACUGCAACAAAAAUCGUAAACAUGUGUUCUCACAACUUCUGCAGCCAUACAAGACAGGGACCACAAAUUCUUGACAAAAGCAGUGGAAGAAGCCUACCGGGGAGUCGAAUGUGGUGAUGGAGGUCCGUUCGGUGCAGUUGUCGUCUGUAACGAUGAAGUAGUAGUUAGCUGCCACAACAUGGUUCUGAAGCACACUGAUCCAACUGCACAUGCUGAAGUAACUGCAAUAAGAGAGGUAAAUGCUUCAGGCCACUCUCAGAAGUUACCCUCCACCACAUCUUUCUUGUGAUCUCUAGUAGCUCAUUCCAUUCUUUGAUAUCUGCUUCACAUAAUCAUUUAUGUUCAUAUUUCAGGCUUGUAAAAAGCUAGGAAAAAUUGAGCUGUCUGACUGCGAAAUUUAUGCAUCCUGUGAGCCAUGCCCAAUGUGCUUUGGUGCAGUUCAUCUCUCCCGGAUCAAGGUUCAUACUAGCUAUUUUGAUUUCUUAGCGUGGCGGACAUAGGCAAAUAGCUUAUACUGUGGUCUAACAUUCCCAUUCGUUCUGCAACGCAGAGGUUGGUUUAUGGCGCCAAGGCGGAGGCUGCCAUUGCCAUUGGAUUCGAUGACUUCAUUGCAGAUGCUCUGAGAGGCACUGGGUUCUACCAGAAGGCGAACUUGGAGAUCAAGAAGGCUGACGGCAACGGAGCGCUGAUCGCUGAGGAGGUCUUUGAGAAGACUAAGGAGAAGUUCCAGAUGU